CCUCUCUCUGUCCCUCUCUCUUUCUGUCUGUCUCUCUCUGCCUCUCUCUGUCUGUCUAUCUCUCCCUCUCUCUGUCCCUCUCUCUUUCUGUCUGUCUCUCUCUGUCUCUGCCUCUCUCUGUCUGUCUGUCUCUCCCUCUCUCUGUCCCUCUCUCUUUCUGUCUGUCUGUCUCUGUCCCUCUCUCUGUCUCUGCCUCUCUCUGUCUGUCUGUCUCUCCCUCUCUCUGUCCCUCUCUCUUUCUGUCUGUCUGUCUCUGUCCCUCUCUCUGUCUCUCCCUCUCUCUGUCCCUCUCUCUUUCUGUCUGUCUCUCUCUGUCCCUCUCUCUGUCUCUGCCUCGCUCUGUCUCUCUGUCCCUCUCUCUGUCUCUGCCUCUCUCUUUCUGUCUGUCUCUCUCUGUCCCUCUCUCUGUCUCUGCCUCUCUCUGUCUGUCUGUCCCUCUCUGUCCCUCUCUCUGUCUCUGCCUCGCUCUGUCUCUCCCUCUCUCUGUCCCUCUGUCUCUCCCUCUCUCUGUCCCUCUCUCUUUCUGUCUGUCUCUCUCUGUCCCUCUCUCUGUCUCUGCCUCUCUCUGUCUGUCUGUCUCUCCCUCUCUCUGUCCCUCUCUCUUUCUGUCUGUCUGUCUCUGUCCCUCUCUCUGUCUCUGCCUCUCUCUGUCUGUCUGUCUCUCCCUCUCUCUGUCCCUCUCUCUUUCUGUCUGUCUCUCUCUGUCCCUCUCUCUGUCUCUGCCUCGCUCUGUCUCUCUGUCCCUCUCUCUGUCUCUGCCUCUCUCUGUCUGUCUGUCCCUCUCUGUCCCUCUCUCUGUCUCUGCCUCGCUCUGUCUCUCCCUCUCUCUGUCCCUCUCUGUCUCUGUCCCUCUGUCUCUGCUGCCUUAAAAGGCCUUUACAGCCUGUGGCAGCUGUUAAACACAGGUCUCGUUCUGAAACAACAGUGUUAUCUAGAAGUCAGCAUCGGCUGAGGGAGCAGCACCACCUCUGCACCAGAGGAGGAGGAGGAGGAGGAGGCCUGGUG
rnacentral:lncRNA from 1 species